rnacentral:tRNA from 1 species
UGGUUUUGUACUUUAAAAAAAAGAGUUGUUUUGCGUACAGAUAAUGAGAAAAAGGUCUCUGAAACC